rnacentral:rRNA from 1 species
UACGGAGGGUGCAAGCGUUAUCCGGAUUCACUGGGUUUAAAGGGUGCGUAGGUGGGUCUGUAAGUCCGUGGUGAAAUCUCUAGGCUUAACCUGGAAACUGCCAUGGAUACUAUAGGUCUUGAAUACUGUGGAGGUCAGCGGAAUAUGUCAUGUAGCGGUGAAAUGCUUAGAUAUGACAUAGAACACCAAUUGCGAAGGCAGCUGGCCACACAAAUAUUGACACUGAGGCACGAAAGCGUGGGGAUCAAACAGG